AACGACUUACAAUUGAUUUGGAGAAGAAGAAGCCUUUGAAAAAUCGCUCUAGUGUGUUUAUGUUUUGAGACAAUAUGAAAAAUGGGUUUAAAAUCGUCUAAGUAUAAAAGUUGUAGGUCUUAGGUAUGGGAAUUGCGAACUCCGACCUCUGCUGGCUUGGGAAUUGCGAAAGGAAGUUGGGAAAUACAAACUGGGAAUUGCGAAGGGAGGUUGGGAAAUGCGAACUGAGAAUUGCGAAGGGGGGUUGGGAAAUGCGAACUGAGAAUUGCGAAGGGAGGUUGGGAAAUGCGAAGCCUGCAGGCCUGCAAUUCCUUAAGUCCAAAAUUUCACCCCGCGGCCUAUCCUAAACUCACCCGAGCCCUCGGGGUUCCAAACCAAACAUGCACACCAC
rnacentral:lncRNA from 1 species